rnacentral:RNase_P_RNA from 1 species
AGAGAAGGCCGGAUGGUCGCCGGCCGCGGCAACGCGGCGGGAGGAAAGUCCGGGCUCCGCAGGGCAGGGUGCUGGGUAACGCCCAGGGGGGGCAACCCCACGGACCAGUGCCACAGAAAACAGACCGCCGUCGCGAGACGGUAAGGGUGAAACGGUGAGGUAAGAGCUCACCAGCAGUCCGGGUGACCGGGCUGGCUCGGUAAACCCCACCCGGAGCAAGGCCAAAUAGGAGAGCGGGUCGCCCGCCCGAUGCUCUCGGGUUAGGCCGCUGGAGGUGCCGGGCAACCGGCAUCCUAGAGAAAUGACCGUCGCCCUGGGUCAGGAAACUGCUCAGGGCACAGGACCCGGCUUACAGGCCUUCUCUGGCG